rnacentral:rRNA from 1 species
CCUACGUGUGGCAGCAGUGGGGAAUAUUGCACAAUGGGGGAAACCCUGAUGCAGCGACGCCGCGUGAGUGAAGAAGUAAUUCGUUAUGUAAAGCUCUAUCAGCAGGGAAGAAAAUGACGGUACCUGAGUAAGAAGCCCCGGCUAACUACGUGCCAGCAGCCGAGGUAAUACGUAGGGGGCAAGCGUUAUCCGGCUUUACUGGGUGGAAAGGGCGCGUAGACGGCAGUGCAAGUCUGGAGUGAAAGGCGGGGGCGCAACCCCCGGACUGCUCUGGAAACUGUACGGCGUGAGUGCAGGAGAGGUAAGUGGAAUUCCUAGUGUAGCGGUGAAAUGCGUAGAUAGUAGGAGGAACACCAGUGGCGAAGGCGGCUUACUGGACUGUAACUGACGUUGAGGCUCGAAAGUGUGGGGAGCAAACAGGAUUAGAUACCCUUGUAGUC